UACGUAGGGUGCGAGCGUUGUCCGGAAUUAUUGGGCGUAAAGAGCUUGUAGGCGGUUUGUCGCGUCUGCCGUGAAAAUCCGGGGCUCAACCCCGGACUUGCGGUGGGUACGGGCAGACUAGAGUGUGGUAGGGGAGACUGGAAUUCCUGGUGUAGCGGUGAAAUGCGCAGAUAUCGGGAAGAACACCCGUGGCGAAGGCGGCCUGCUGGGCCGUUGCUGACGCUGAGGCGCGACAGCGUGGGGAGCAAACAGG
rnacentral:rRNA from 1 species